AUGUCUCCCUCCAGUUUUGAUUACCUAAGACAGUCAUUAUAUGUAAUGGGAAAAUAUGAGGAUGAUCAGAAAGAGUCACAGUUAUUCCGAAAAGGAAAGAGAGUGAGGCCAGAUCUCAAGGCUGCCUUUUCCACGCAGAAUUGUGAUGAGCUUCGCCUUUGUCAGCAAGAUCAGCGGUUUGUGUGGCCUAUUCGUGAUGCCAGGCUCGCCAAGCUAAUGCUACCUCACCAGGAAGGGACGACUUGUGCUCCUGUCAGAUGA
rnacentral:lncRNA from 1 species